AGAGUUAAACAGUACGUGAAAUUGUUGAAAGGGAAACGAUUGAAGCCAGUCAUGCUGUGAGGAAUCAACUCGGUGGUUUACUUCCUUGUGUACUUUCUCGCUUGGCAGGUUAGCAUCAAUUUUGGUUGUCAUCAAAGAAUUGGGGGAAUGUGGCUUCUCUUCGGGGAAGUGUUAUAGAUCCUGGUAGAUGUGACGACUGAGAUUGAGGAUUGCAGCGGAUGCCUUUGGCUAGUCACCUGUCUUCUGACUGUCACCUCGCUUUUGACAGCUUGCUGAUGAUUGUGGGAUUUGGCGGCCUAGAAGUUAGAGUGUACAUAAAUUCGCUAAGGAUGCUGACGUAAUGGCUUUAAAUGA
rnacentral:misc_RNA from 1 species